rnacentral:lncRNA from 1 species
GCUGGGCCGGGCCGCGCCUGGGGGCCCUGCUCGGCUGGGGCUGCUUACUGCAGGCUUUCAGCCCAGUGCUGACUGCACCUGGGCAUCUGCUUGCCUGCACGUGGCUCUUAGUGCUCUGGUUACCAGGUACCACAAGAAAAGAAGCAUACUAUUUGAUUUGUAUGCUGCACCCAAUUCUUUACUGAAUUUCUCCUCUAGCUCUGCUCAGCCACUUGCAUUCCAGAUGGUACUUAAAAAAGCAAACUGAUUCCGUACACUUCUGCUGGUGUAUAGCAAAUCACAUUAUGCGAUGACAUUUAGAAAGAAACUGAGGCAAAAAGCCUAUUUUCAUUUCCAGCUUCCAUCAAGUGUACCUAUCAGGCGACACCCAUAGUUUUCAAGCGCAGAACGGCUUAGUUCGUAUACGUAACUUUCUCCUAGGAGAGAGGACAACAUGUAAUUCCUUUUUAAAUAACUGAAGUAAUCAUUUUUCCCUGAUGAACAUGAAAGUUUCUCCACUCUUAAGUCAGACUCCCAUCUCCCAUUUUGCUCAGUCGCUGCAAAGUACUGUCAGUGAGGUUGCCAGAUAAAUUGCUUUUGUGAGCCAUCAAAGAGGAAAAUCAGGAUAGUGAAAGUCCUACUUUUGUCACAAGAACUGUAAGAAAAAUGUCUAUAACUUGUAAUUUAAUUAGAACCUACAUACUCUUGAAAACUCAACAUUUCAAGUCAGGUAAUCCAGAAUUUGUCCAAUGUUUCUGACCUAGUCUGAGGGACAGUUUCAGCCUCUGCUGAAGGCAAGUCGCCGCUACUACAACUGUACAGAAGAGUGGGGGAUGCUUGGAGAGAGCUGCUACUUCAAGUGCAUAUGGCCAGAAGUUUUCAACUUCAAGCCACAGCUGCCUUCAGAUGAUCCCAUAGGCAAACCUGAAGCCCUAGGAAAAAAUUCGGAGCAAAGAUUCUGA